rnacentral:misc_RNA from 1 species
AACGCACAUUGCGCCCCCUGGUAUUCCGGGGGGCAUGCCUGUCCGAGCGUCAUUGCUGCCCUCAAGCACGGCUUGUGUGUUGGGCCUUCGUCCCCCCGGGGACGGGUCCGAAAGGCAGCGGCGGCACCGCGUCCGGUCCUCGAGCGUAUGGGGCUUCGUCACCCGCUCUGUAGGCCCGGCCGGCGCUGGCCGACGACCCAUCAAUCUUUUUUCCAGGUUGACCUCGGAUCAGGUAGGGAUACCCGCUGAACUUAA